rnacentral:rRNA from 1 species
UUUAAACUUGAGAGUUUGAUCAUGGCUCAGAACGUACGCUGGCGGCACGCCUAACACAUGCAAGUCGAACGAAGUAGCAAUACUUAGUGGCAGACGGGUGAGUAACAUGUAGGUAUCUGCCCUUUGGCCUGGAAUAACACGAGGAAACUUGUGCUAAUACCGGAUAAGUCUUUACGGAGAAAGCUUUAUGCACCAUUGGAUGAGCCUGCACUUGAUUAGUUUGUUGGUAGGGUAAUGGCCUACCAAGACUUUGAUCAAUAGCUGAUUUGAGAGGAUGAUCAGCCACAUUGGGACUGAGACACGGCCCAAACUCCUACGGGAGGCAGCAGUGGGGAAUCUUGCACAAUGGAGGAAACUCUGAUGCAGCGAUGCCGCGUGAGUGAAGAAGGCCCUUGGGUUGUAAAGCUCUUUCGUCGGGGAAGAAAAUGACUGUACCCGAAUAAGAAGGUCCGGCUAACUUCGUGCCAGCAGCCGCGGUAAUACGAAGGGACCUAGCGUAGUUCGGAAUUACUGGGCUUAAAGAGUUCGUAGGUGGUUGAAAAAGUUGGUGGUGAAAUCCCAGAGCUUAACUCUGGAACUGCCAUCAAAACUUUUCAGCUAGAGUUUGAUAGAGGAAAGCAGAAUUUCUAGUGUAGAGGUGAAAUUCGUAGAUAUUAGAAAGAAUACCAAUUGCGAAGGCAGCUUUCUGGAUCAUUACUGACACUGAGGAACGAAAGCAUGGGUAGCGAAGAGGAUUAGAUACCCUCGUAGUCCAUGCCGUAAACGAUGUGUGUUAGACGUUGGAAAUUUAUUUUCAGUGUCGCAGCGAAAGCGAUAAACACACCGCCUGGGGAGUACGACCGCAAGGUUAAAACUCAAAUGAAUUGACGGGGACCCGCACAAGUAGUGGAGCAUGUGGUUUAAUUCGAAGAUACGCGCAGAACCUUACCAACACUUGACAUGUUCGUCGCGACUUUAAGAGAUUAAAGUUUUCGGUUCGGCCGGACGAAACACAGGUGCUGCAUGGCUGUCGUCAGCUCGUGUCGUGAGAUGUUGGGUUAAGUCCCGCAACGAGCGCAACCCUCACUUUUAGUUGCCAUCAUUUAGUUGGGCACUCUGAAAGAACUGCCAGUGAUAAGCUGGAGGAAGGUGGGGAUGACGUCAAGUCCUCAUGGCCCUUACGUGUUGGGCUACACACGUGCUACAAUGGUAUCUACAACAGGAAGCAAAACGGCGACGUUAAGCAAAUCCUUAAAAGAUACCUCAGUUCGGAUUGCACUCUGCAACUCGAGUGCAUGAAGCUGGAAUUACUAGUAAUCGUGGAUCAGCGUGCCACGGUGAAUGCGUUCCCGGGUCUUGUACACACCGCCCGUCACACCAUGGGAGUUGGUUCUACCUUAAGGCAAGGUUUUAAACCCUUGACCACGGUAUAGUCAGCGACUGGGGUGAAGUCGUAACAAGGUAGCCGUAGGGGAACCUGCGGCUGGAUUACCUCCUUUCUAA